AUUGAACGCUGGCGGCAUGCUUUACACAUGCAAGUCGAACGGGGUGGAGGGCAACUUCCAUUCAGUGGCGAACGGGUGAGUAAUGCAUCGGAACGUGCCUCGUAGUGGGGGAUAACUCGGCGAAAGCCGUGCUAAUACCGCAUAUGCUCUACGGAGGAAAGUGGGGGAUCCGCAAGGACCUCACGCUAUGAGAGCGGCCGAUGUCCGAUUAGCUUGUUGGUGGGGAAUGGCCCACCAAGGCGACGAUCGGUAGCUGGUCUGAGAGGAUGAUCAGCCACACUGGGACUGAGACACGGCCCAGACUCCUACGGGAGGCAGCAGUGGGGAAUUUUGGACAAUGGGGGCAACCCUGAUCCAGCCAUGCCGCGUGCGGGAAGAAGG
rnacentral:rRNA from 1 species